CAAGAGGCUUUUGGAUAGAAGUCUAGAGCUGAGAAGUAAGAUCUAGACUGAAAACUAACUGUUAAGUAUGUAGGGAGAAAUUAAAGUCUUGAGUAUACAUGAAAUAGACUUAGCAGACAACCUAGGAGUGUGCAAUGAAGAAUUUAAAUUAAUUUUUGGCUAGGUAGAGGAAGAUGAGCUGGCUAAGGAGUUGCAGAUAUCAGAUGGGUGUUGUGCAAUGGAAGACAAAGGCAUAAAUAAUUCAAGGAAGGAGUGUGUUGAUGCGAAUCCAGACACUGAUUAGAAAAUGGCAAGUUCCAAUAUCUGAUCCAAGAAACCUCAACAAGAGAAGCAAAAAAUAUUCCUUCUUCCUGGAAAGCUGUAGAAAGACAGCCACUGUCCUGGGGAAGGACAUGGUCCUGGUUGGGAAGACCUGGCCCGGUGCACCCCGAGGGUCCCAGUGUCCCUGCUGGUCAGGAGGAGCUGCACUUGUGGUCUCCAGAGUGUGACGGCUCAUCACCAAGGGCAUGGUGGCUGAAGAGAAGAAACAGACUAUUUUGGAGAACCUUCCUGAGAUU